rnacentral:rRNA from 1 species
GACGAGCGCUGGUUGCCCGCCUAAUGCUUGCCUGUCAAGCGAACGGACUACAACCUUGCUUCUCUGAUGUUAGCAGCGGACCGGUGAGUAACACCUGCAUUACCGACCUUUCUUACUGGCACAACUUCGCGACCCUGAGCUUAGACCGGAGUAAUAUUUUGAGCCGCCCGGUUCAUAAGGGGAAGACGGACUUGCUGUCACCUCCACAUGGAUCCGCGCUGCCUUAGCUAGUUGGCUAGGUAACCGCUUAUCAAGGCUGCCAUGCAUACCCAACCUGAGAGGGUGAUCCGGCACUCUGGAACUGAUACCCCGACCAGACUUCUACAGGACGCUGCACCACGGGAUCUUUCGCCCUGCGCGAGAGACUGACCGAUCUCCGCCGCUGGAGUGAUGAAGGUCUUCUGAUCGAAGAACUCCGCUUUUAUGGAAAAAAAUAUGUGUGAUUAACCGUGCGCGUCGUGACCGGACCUUAUCUUAAGGCUCCGAUCUUUACGUGCCACCCCCCGCGGGAAUAGCUUAGUGGGAUGCCUUAUCCGGAAUUGUUGGGAGUACCCCCCGCGCUUGCCGCUUUUUUAGUCUGAUGUGAAAGCCCACGGCUCAACCGUGGAGGGUCAUUGGAAACUGGAAAAUUUGAGUGCAGAAGAGGAAAGUGGAAUUCCAUGUGUAGCGGUGAAAUGCGCAGAGAUAUGGAGGAACACCAGUGGCGAAGGCGACUUUCUGGUCUGUAACUGACGCUGAUGUGCGAAAGCGUGGGGAUCAAACAGGAUUAGAUACCCUGGUAGUCCACGCCGUAAACGAUGAGUGCUAAGUGUUAGGGGGUUUCCGCCCCUUAGUGCUGCAGCUAACGCAUUAAGCACUCCGCCUGGGGAGUACGACCGCAAGGUUGAAACUCAAAGGAAUUGACGGGGACCCGCACAAGCGGUGGAGCAUGUGGUUUAAUUCGAAGCAACGCGAAGAACCUUACCAAAUCUUGACAUCCUUUGACAACUCUAGAGAUAGAGCUUUCCCCUUCGGGGGACAAAGUGACAGGUGGUGCAUGGUUGUCGUCAGCUCGUGUCGUGAGAUGUUGGGUUAAGUCCCGCAACGAGCGCAACCCUUAAGCUUAUUUGCCAUCAUUAAGUUGGGCACUCUAAGUUGACUGCCGGUGACAAACCGGAGGAAGGUGGGGAUGACGUCAAAUCAUCAUGCCCCUUAUGAUUUGGGCUACACACGUGCUACAAUGGACAAUACAAAGGGCAGCGAAACCGCGAGGUCAAGCAAAUCCCAUAAAGUUGUUCUCAGUUCGGAUUGUAGUGUGCAACUCGGAGAACACGAAGCUGGAAUCGCUUGUAAUGGUAGAUAGGCAUGAUGCGGUGAAUACGUUCUCGUCUUG